UUAAACUCACAAGAUAAAGUCUAUUCAAAUAACCUUAAUGACCUUGUUAAUUUUAAUGAUGAUUAUCACAGACCUGUACUGAGUAAUGAGGAAAAAAAUUAUAUCACGCUGAAAAUGUACAAUAACAAAAUUAUGUUACUUGUCAUGUUAUCCCUAAUAUUAAUUGGUAUUUUUUUAUUUGUUAUAGGUGACCUAAACUAAAAGAAAAAACCAUGAAAUGACCACUAAUUAGCAUCUACUGAAGGUAAAUUUGACUUUAAUUAAUUAUAAAAAUGUAUUGUUAUCUUGUUGGUAUUCAUAAUUCAGUGCAGGAUUUGACUUGUACAAUGACUCAUAUUUAAUGAUGAAGCAUAUCACAUGACCAGCAAAUAUUAUUUGCUUUAUCACAAUUUUUUGUGUCGGUCUACGUAUAUUAUUUCGAACGUUAGAAUGACUCGCCAUAAUCGCUUUUAUUCAAAUGAUGAUAAAAUUCCUCCCGAUGCCACCGUGACGGUUUAUACAAGCUCAACAGGACUGAAUCCAUCAAAACAUCAGCUAAAUAUUAUUAUGAUGAUUGAAAAACACUAACAAAUUGUAUUAUUGGUUGCAGAUGAACAUUAAUCACAUAUUAUGUGGUACCGUGAUUAGUAAUGAAGAUAUACAAAUUUCUUAUCAGGUGCUGAAAAGAGGUUCUGUGACCCAAGACAGCCAUAGAAUCUAAUAGGUACUCCUCGUGGCUCUAGCCAGAUCAAUUUAAGUUGAAAUGCAGCUGUUUAUUACACAAUACUGUUGAUUCACUAAUAAACAGUUAUCGAAAUAAGUUAUGUAUUUUCGUUUUUAAAAGUCUUAUAAGCCACCCCUACACUGCCUGAAGUAACCCCUUCGUAGUCGCUUAUAGUGAGUUGGACUCUACUACUGAAUGCUUGUAACCUUCAGGAAAACUUUGAAAAUGUAAUACUGUAAGCGACUUACGAAAAGGAUACCUAAUACGUUUGUAGUUAGUCACAUAAAAUAUAGCCUAUGUUACUCAGCGAACGGUACAAGCUCAUGAUGUCAGGGGCCCGAUUCUCCUAAUUUUACUUAAGCGACAUACGAUUGAGGUUCGACUCGAUUCGACCGAGAUCCGAUCUCGACUCGAUUACGAUUGAAGCGUAUGUGGCAUUCCGCUAUUUUUUCUUUGAAAUAAACGUUUUUAUCCUUUUCUGUCAUUCAAUAAUGAAUCAUUUUGUCUGCAAAUGAUUUACGAUUGCAAAAUGAUUGUACAGCAAACUACCGUAUAGGCCAAAAUUACCAAAAUAGCAGACCAAUC